AUUGAACGCUGGCGGCAGGCCUAACACAUGCAAGUCGAGCGAGCGGCGGACGGGUGAGUAAUGUAUGGGGACUGCCCGAUAGAGGGGGAUAACUACUGGAAACGGUGGCUAAUACCGCAUACUAUCGGAUAACCCAUAUGGGAUUGGAUAGUUGGUGGGGUAAAGGCUCACCUAGGCGAAGAUCUCUAGCUGUUCUGAGAGGAUGAUUAGUCACACUGGGAAUUGGACACGGCCCAGCCUUCAGCGGAGGCAUCAGUGGGGAAUAUUGCACAAUUGGCGCAAGCCUUAUGCACCCAUGCCGCGUGUAUGAGGAAGGCCUUAGGGUUGUAAAGUACAUUCAGCGUGGAGGCGUUACCCUCAGAAGAAGCACCGGCUAACUCCGUGCCAACAGCCGCGGUAAUUC
rnacentral:rRNA from 1 species